GCUCCCGCCGCUCCACCCUGUGGGAGGCCGGCAUCAAUCCCGCUCCCGACCUCUCCAACUCCCAGCUUCAAGGUCUGUCGCUGCUAGUCGCCUCUCCUGCUCUCUCCGAGCAGUCUCCCCCUCCACAACCUGAUUCCGACUCCCCUGCCCCAGCGCCUCCGGCGACCGCUCGCGGUCGGAAAAAGGGGAAAAAGCCGGCCUCCACCUCUGCCCCUCGGGCUAAACGUCAACGUCCCUCGCUGCCAUCGCCGCUCCCGCAGCCGUCCAAUGCGCUGAUCACCACGCUCCAACACCUGUCCUCAUCCCUUCACUCCAUCGACAGGCGCUAGAGGGAGCGCAUAUCUCUCCUUCACCAAUCAUCCCGGCCGUUCCAGCUGCUCGGCCUCCUCCACUCUCCGCCAUCCAGUGAGCCGCUGCCACCCCCCGCUCCCCUCCACCGGCCUCCUCUGCUCACACUCUGGCUUCAGCCCGGCCCGCUCCUCCUCUGGGUAGGCCAUUUUUAUCUCAUUCUGCCAACAUUUCUCCGCGCCUGAGGGCAAAUAUCCUGCAGGGACAGGACACAUUAAUCUGGUGAGCCUCAUUCUCCCUUCCCCGCUAUGCGAAAAAUCAGUGGCUUCCGGAGAAAAUGGCCAUCCUGAAAUCAGCCGAUCCCCGGCUCAAUAAUGAUCUGACGGCUUUUGGGGUUUUUCGUGACGUCAUCUGCUCAGUCUUCCCCGACAGGCGCACAGAAUUGGAUUACUAUCUGGCUAUUAUUGCAGACCUCCACAUCAAAUACGGAAAAAACAUAUUCUACCAUUAUCACAAGGCAUUCUCAAGCAAGGCAGCGCUCCACAUCUCCCACUUCAAUACCUGCCUGGACUGGUCCGUCCUGGACACCGAGCUACUGGUGAUGGUCGUCGGCGGCUCCCAAAUGAUUUCGUGUAAUUCCUGCGGUACCCCCGGCCACACAGCCAUCCUGUGUCCCUCAGUGCCUUUCCACCCCUCUGCCUCCCGCUCCCUGC
rnacentral:lncRNA from 1 species